rnacentral:rRNA from 1 species
GACGAACGCUGGCGGCGUGCUUAACACAUGCAAGUCGAACGGAAAGGCCCGGCUUUGGGGGGGUGCUCGAGUGGCGAACGGGUGAGUAACACGUGAGUAACCUGCCCUUGACUUUGGGAUAACUUCAGGAAACUGGGGCUAAUACCGGAUAGGAGCUCCUGCUGCAUGGUGGGGGUUGGAAAGGUUCGGCGGUUGGGGAUGGACUCGCGGCUUAUCAGCUUGUUGGUGGGGUAGUGGCUUACCAAGGCUUUGACGGGUAGCCGGCCUGAGAGGGUGACCGGCCACAUUGGGACUGAGAUACGGACCAGCCUUCUACGCGCGGCAGCAGUGGGGAAUAUUGCAUGAUGGGCGGAAGCCUGAUGCAGUAAAGCCGCGUGCGGGAUAACGGCCAUCGGGUUGUACACCGCUUUCGCCUGUGCCGAAGCCUGCGUGACGGUAAUGGGUAAAGAAGCAACGGCUAAAUACGUG